CCUUGUGACCAAAAGCAUUUGCGGGCUUCAAUGUGCCCGCCCAGGUAAUUAAUAGUGCAAGAACAGGAUGCAGGAAGCCUUUCCCUGGGUUCAGAGGGUUCACUCCAGUCCUUGAUAAAUGCUGGUACUUUCUGACA